rnacentral:lncRNA from 1 species
AUUGAUAUGAUGUCCCAGCGUGUUGUCUCUAUUCUAUCUCAGCAGUUUACCACUUCAGUCUUUGCACAGAGAUCGACUUCCUAGGGUGACUCGGACCAGACUCUGAUCCCUCAUAUUUUUACUAUUUUUCAGAUGCUUACUGAUCAGUCGAUACACAUUGAGCAGCUUGAGGGAUGUACUUUGAGAUUGACAGGCAGAGUAUUAGAC